GCGCGAUUAGCUCAGCGGGAGAGCGCUUCCCUGACACGGAAGAGGUCACUGGUUCAAUCCCAGUAUCGCGCACCACCG
rnacentral:tRNA from 1 species